UCAUCACUGUGUAGCUGGCUGUUUGGACACAUUCCAUAAUCCAUUUUGUGAAUCUGACUGGAAAUCCAUUGCCUCCAUUACCUGUUGUAAGAAAAUCCAUUCGACAGAAUCAUAAGCCUUCUGCAGGUCGAUUUUGAUCAUGCAUCUAGGAGUUAUAUGAGAUCUGAAGUAAUUUUUGAUUAAUUCAUGGGCCAAUAUAACAUUGUCUGCAAUUUUCCUACCUGGGAUGAAUCCUGCUUGAGCAUCACAGAUGAUGCUAGCCAUGAUCAUCUGCAUUCUGUUGGCUAGUAUCUUGGAAAUCAGUUUAUAUAAUAUUGAGGAGCAAGCUAUUGGUCUGAACUCUCUGACUGUUGUUGUAUUAGGAACUUUAGGUAUCAGGGUAAGGAAGCACAGUUAAUUGGUAUGUACAUCCUGUUGGUCUGGAAAAAUUUCUUGACUGCACCAGUUAUCUAUUUGCCAGUGAUGCUCUAAGUCUGCUUGAAGAACAAUGCAUUAUACCCAUCAAUUCCCGGGGCUUUGUCAUCAUCAAUUACCUUCAGACUAUCCUGAAUCUCAGAAUCAGUGAUCUCAGCAACUAAGUCUUUCUUCUGUUGAUAUGUUAGCAUAGGACCAUUGGUCAUAUACAGUUGAUUAAUAGCUGGAAGAGAUGCAGCUGCUGUCCCCAAUAAGGACUUAUAAAAGUCAGUGACCUCCUUUUUAAUUGCAUCAGGAUUGGUAAUUAUUGACCCCCCUGCUGUAACCAGUUCAGUAAUACUCUUGUGUUGAUUCCUUUCCUUCAAGACAGCANNNNNNNNNNNNNNNNNNNNNNNNNNNNNNNNNNNNNNNNNNNNNNNNNNNNNNNNNNNNNNNNNNNNNNNNNNNNNNNNNNNNNNNNNNNNNNNNNNNNNNNNNNNNNNNNNNNNNNNNNNNNNNNNNNNNNNNNNNNNNNNNNNNNNNNNNNNNNNNNNNNNNNNNNNNNNNNNNNNNNNNNNNNNNNNNNNNNNNNNNNNNNNNNNNNNNNNNNNNNNNNNNNNNNNNNNNNNNNNNNNNNNNNNNNNNNNNNNNNNNNNNNNNNNNNNNNNNNNNNNNNNNNNNNNNNNNNNNNNNNNNNNNNNNNNNNNNNNNNNNNNNNNNNNNNNNNNNNNNNNNNNNNNNNNNNNNNNNNNNNNNNNNNNNNNNNNNNNNNNUAUAUAUAUAUAUAUGAAUCAUAUUGUAACUUUCCAACAUUUUUAUUAACAUUUUUUUGUUUUUGAUUUUUCUUUAUAUAAUAUCUUGUAACCUUCUAAAUUAUCUUCUUCGUUCAUACCAAAGCAAAUUAUCUGCAUCCUUCUUUAGAUUAUAGAUUUUCUUCCAACAAAUAUCAUUUAUAAUUUCUUCUAUUAUAGGUCAAUAGUUCCCGAAUCUUUAAAGCAGUUAUUAAAUCUUAUUUGGGAAUAUGAUCAUCUAAAAAUAGGUAAUAAAUUUACAAUUAAAUUUAAUAAUCUAUAUAUUUAUCAUCAAAAGGAGAAGAAAAUGAAUCCAGAUUAAGUCAAGUGGCAACGUCACAAUAGGCCACUUGACAUUUUGGGACAAUUUUAGUAUGGUUAUGUAAUAAUUAAUUUUUUAUUUAAAUUUUUUUAAUAAAUAAAUUAUACAUUAUGUAUUGUUAAUAAUUAGUUAUUCUUUUUGAAUUAUAAUUUAAGCAUACUUAAACUAUUUUUUAUGUUUUUUUAUAAAAUUGAAAUUAUUUCUAUUUUACGUUCAAUGCCAUCUUUAAGUUUGACACUCAGAAUCAUCUUGUUACAACUACCAUCGCUAUACAUAAUUUCAUCCGACGAUAUUUUUUUACUUAUACAGAAUUCAACUAUUAUGCUAACAAGAAUAUUACUGCAGAGAUUGAUGAAGGAGAUGAGCAUUCUAAUAUUCCUUUAGAAAUGUUAGGCAAGUCUUUUACUAAUAUGGAUGUGUUGUGUGAUAGAAAUACAUAUAAAAUUAUUGAAAAAUAUUAUCAUAUGUGAGUGACUUUACUUAUUAUUUUAUUAUGGAUUAUCAAUAUAUAUAUAUCAAUUCAUGGAUAGAAUUCUAAUUUAUAAUGAAUGUUGUUAUUUUAAUUAUUCAUAUCAUCAUAUAACAAUAAAUAAUUAUACUAGAUAAUAUCAUAUGCUUUGGUAUAAUUAUAAUAUAUAUGUAAAAUUGUCUUAAAUAUUUAAUAAUUCAUAUCAUCAUAUAAGGAGAUGAGCAUUCUAAUAUUCCUUUAGAAAUGUGAGGCAAGUCUUCUACUCAAAAAUACUUUUUAGAAAGAUUGGUCAAACACAAUUUAUUUAUCAAAUAUUACAAAAAGUACUUUUUAAAUGAAUGGGCCAAACACAAACAGUUCUUUUUCAAAAGUACUUCAAAAAAAAGUAUUAUAAUUGUGACGACCCAAAGGGUCAUCACCGUAAUUCUACCUUUGUCCGUGCUUCCAAGUCCUUGAAAACCUCUUAUUUGGUCGCAUUGAUUUUCGUGCACAGUCCGGAUGUGAAGCCGGAAUGUUUUUAUGUGGAAAUAUAUGAACUUUGUGUUAAAAAUUAUGAAUUUCCAUAAUAAUAUUGAUAUAGUUGACUUGGACCUGUGAUGUGACGGUCCCGGAAGGUCCAUUGGAAAAUAUGGGACUCGGGCGUAUUCCCGUAAUCGAAAUCCGAGGUCCCAGGCCCGAGUACAAAUUUUUUGAAAGAAAUUGUUUAUCUGAAAAUGAUAUGAGAAAUCGAAAUGAAAAUGAGUUAGAAAGUAAUGGUAUCAUACUCGUAUUUAGUUCGAAUGCGCGGUACAGAUCUUAAAUGAGCGUUAAGAACUUCCUGUAAAAUUUGGUCGAAACCAGAUGUCGUUUGACGUGUUUCGGACUAAAAAUGAAAAAAUAGGAAGUUAUGAAAUUUGAAAUGUAAUUAUGAGUUUGGGGGUUGAUUUUCAUAUUAUUUUGGCGAUUUGGUCACCCUGAGCAAGGUAGUAGGAUGAUAUUGAGUUAGUGUGUGUGUUUGGUUGGGAUCCGCGAGGGCUCGGGAGUAAUUUCAGGGGUUGUUCGGUGUGUUUUGGACUUGGAAUGAAUCAGAAAAUUCUGCAAUUUUUACACAGGUCUUUUCCUCUAUACGAUCGCAUAGGCUUGUCAGCGAUCGCAUAGAGUCCCUUUUCAGCCCUCCCACUUUUUUCAAUGCGAUCGCAGAGCUUAGUCAGCCUUCUCAAUGCGAUCGCAACACCCUAUACGCGGUCGCAUAGCCUUGGACCUCACCCAGCAUUCCAGGCUUCCCUUUUCUCUACGUGAUCACAUGACAUCUAAUGCGAUUGCAGAAGACAACUUCCCACUCUCUAUGCGAUCGCAUAGGCCAAAUAUGCUUCAGUGAUUUUUAAGUUAAAACAUAACAGUAUGCUCGGGAUUUUUUUGCAUUUUUCACACGAGCCCUUCACUCAAACCCUCCAUAGACGAAUUUCAAGAGCUAUCUUCUCCAUAACUCUUUGGGUUAGUAUUCUUAACAUCUUUUCCUCACUAUUUCAUUAUCUAAUCACUAGAAUCCUAGCCUAAAAACAUGAAAUCAAGGUAGAAAUUUUAGGUUUUUUAGAAUUUUUGGCGAUUCAACAUCAAUUUGGAGCCUAAUCUUAAUAUAAAUUAUAUAUUUGAAUUCUUGGGGUUAUGGGUGAAUGGGUUUUGGUAUGAGCCUCCAGUUUGGACCAUGUUGUCCCGGUGUCGGAUUUUGAUAUUUUUCGAAGAAUGAUAGGAAAUUCCUUUCUAGGCUAUGGAAUCGUAUUUUUAAGCUAUUAUUGAUAAUAUUUAACUAAUUAUGGCUAGAUAUUGUUGAUUUGGAGUCGGAUUCUAGAGGAAAAGCGGUGUUAGAGGAUUCAUUGGUAUUUUCAGACCGAGGUAAGUGUUUGAUCUAACUUUGGCUUGACGGAAUAUGAUUAGGAUGUUAUUUGAUACGUGCUAUGUGGAGUCGGUGUAUAGGCAUGGUGACGGUUAUCUAUGCACCCGAGUGUAGCAUGACUGUGGAUCUUAAAUUGCAUUAUUUUGAAUGAUAUGAUAUAAAUUCGUGUUAGAAUUGAUUUAGUUCACAUGAUAUGAACGGUGAGGAUAAAUAAUGAUUUCGUAUAAUUUUUUAGCACUGGCUCGACUUAGCACAAGCUGGUAGCUAACGUGUUUAGAAGUGGAAGUUCUGCGAUCAUUUCCCUUGUCGGGACUUAAAUACCUUAGCAGGAUAUUUGGGAUGUUUGUUGCAUUCAAUUGUUGGACACUUGGCAAUUGAUGCUACUCCCCUCGCACUUGGGUUGCGAAUGAUGUGGGUGAGUUUUGUAGGUAAAAAUCAAGGAUCAGAUUUCACGCUGCAACGGUACUAAAUGUCGAGGAUCGGGUUGGACGCCACAACGGUAUCAAAUGUUAAGGAUCGGGUUGCGUGCCGCAAUGGACAUGGAUUUAGUAUAUUGUUCUGUGUGUUGAGCUUUCAGGCAUUCCAUUAUCACUUGUUAACUGCUCAGUUCUUACUCUUAUUAGUUGAUUUCUGCAUUUGAACUGUUUUACCCCACAGCAUGCUCCCCUCGCCUUUUAACUGUUUAGAAUAGUGUAUUCUCCUGUUAUUGCAUAUAUCUGUACCGGUUAUUUGUGGUAAGUCCUGUCUAGCCUCGUCACUACCUCUCCAGGGUUAGGCCAGGAACUUACCAGCACAUGGGUUCGGUUGUGCUGAUGCUACACUUCUGUGUCUUUUGUGCACAGGUCAGGAGACAGCUUACAGACUACCGGAGCAGUUCUAGACCGGGAGCCGACCUUGAGUCCAGAGACUUUUAGGUAGCUUAGUUGACAUCCGCGAGCUCAGAGUCUGAUCUAUGUUAUUUUAGUUUGCUUAUUUGUAUCGAGACAGACUCUUAUGUAUUUUCUUUUAGACUGAUGUUUUUAGUAAUCCUUUAAUAGUCCAUGAGUGGUGACACCCGAUACUGGGUAGAAACAUGUUAUGAACUUUCGCACUUUGCUAUUAUUUUUGUUAAAAGUCUUUCGCAUAUUUUUAAUUAUUUAUUUCAGUUUAUUAUACCGUUUAAGAUUAAAGCUCUUGAAAUGUUUAAAAAGUUUAGCAUGCCUAGCUCCGAUAGUAGGUGCCAUCACGACCACGGUGGUGGGAAAUUUGGGUCGUGACAAUAAUUUUUAAAAUAAACAAAUUUUGGCAACUUGGCCAAAUGGGCUCUAAGUUGAGACGGAAAUGAUAACAACACUUAUUCAUUGAAAGAGAAUUUAAUUGCUAAACUAUACUACUUUUGAAAGAUUUUCAGUGGUAGUGCAGAGAAAUAGUGGAAUAUCUAUUUUUAUGAAAAUCUUGCUCAGCUCCUAUAUUUAAAGAAAACUAUCCGAAGUACCAUGUCCAAUAAAAGUGUUUAGCUCAAAGUUCUCAUAUACUUUAUAAGAGUAAAUAAAAUAAAAUAAAUGGAGGGCCACUCGUAGAAGAUCGUAAUAAAUCAUAAGACCAAACGAAAAAUAUAAAAGAAAAAUGUUACAAGUGAAGGAGGGAGGGUGGAGAUCUUUUAUUGAUUAAGAUAGACAUGGUCUGCCUCUUCACGAAGAGGUUCAGAACCUUACAGUGAUUUUUUCCCCCUUUUUUUAGAAGUAGAGGUGGAGAUGAAGAAGCAGCCCCCACUCACCCCCCUUUUAGGGUUCUUUAUCUUAAUAUUUAUAGCUGUGAAUAUUGCCAGCUGGUGAUAGACGGUCGUGGCUGCAUCGAAGGGAUGUCCGUGAAUAAUGAAUAGGUCGUGGUCUCGUUAAUUAGGUCAAGUAACCUCGGAAUACAUUUGUCAGCGAAUGAUUAUACCUAUUAUCUGCCCGAACGAGCUUGGGAGCCAAUUAGACAUGCUAAUUAUUAUGAAUCUAAUUUUUACCGAUACAGAUAGUCCCUCCGCUUAUCGAGGUCGUGCCUCGGUCGAGCUCAAUAAGCUGACUAUGCCGGCUGUAUCGUGAAAAGCUCGAGUGUGGGGGCCGACUAUUUCCUUGGCCUUGGUCGUGCUUGAAGAAGACCGGAGCUAUUUAAGCUAUGGACAUCACUUGGUAGAAAUUGACGGUUGUAACCACUCUGCAGGGACAAUCCUAGACUACAAUGGAGCUGAUGUUAGAUGAAUUCACAUUCGACGACCGUAGUCGCAGUCCUUUAGUUGGUUUUGUACGAGCGAUUGGCCAUGGACGUCCAUAUACCUAAAAUGGUCGUGGCUGUUUAUUUGCAUGUAUUCUUCUUUUGGUAGGAGACCGUACUCACGUUAUUAUUAAGAGGCAGCGAUAACCGUUCGUUGCUUUGAAAGGGUCGUAGUCGUCCUUACUUGGGGGAUGGCAGUAGCCGUUUUAUAUUGAGGAGAAGGCCAUAGCCGUUCUCGCUUAAGAAAUAGUCAUGGCCGUUGUUCAGGGAUGGGUGCAAUCAACAUUAUUUUCGGAGACGGCCGUAGCGAGUAUUAUUUUGAAGAUGGCCAUAGCCUCUAUUGAUUUAGAGACUGUCGUAGCCAAUUACAUAUGUUUCGGGAGGAUACGAUCAUGCUUGCUGCGUAUAAGGAAGGUGCCAAACGCUUAGUGACGCAUGGGGCGUGCUUUUGGUGUCUUAGGACUAUUGCAACCAUUUCAAGGGUGACGUGCCGACUGACGGUUGAAUGACCGUUCCAUGGUAUCUGUCAUAAUGAUACCCAUUACUGUAGACCCGAACCAUUUUGUGGUUGGUCAGGCAGUUAAGGAUGGACUUAGAGAUUCGUGGAAGCCAUUUAUGCUUUGUCUAUAAAUAAGGGGUUGUAUCAUUCAGUUCUUACUUUUCCGAUAUUUGCUUAAGUGAAAUUCUGAGAGAGACAACUCUUCUUGUUCUCAGAUUACUUCAUCUUUUGCUCCUUGUUACUUUAUUUUUCGUCGUUUAUUGUCAUAUCUUCAUCACCUUUUACUUUUUCGGUGAACGUUGCUUACUUCCUUUUACUAUAUUGACAAUGGCGAAAAGCUCUCGUUCUAAUAUUGCUCAGGUGGCGGUUACAGCGGCUAAGGGUCUAUCUACGGUGGUGAGAACCACCAAUUCGAUGGACAUUGACAGGAUCCCGUCGGUAACCCACAUUCUUUCUCAGCCCGCUGAUUUCUCCGACUAUGAAGGAGAAGACCAAGUGGACGAAGCCUCAUUGAUGGGGGAGGUACGCAUCGUCCAAUUGAGGGAUCAGUGUGACAUUCCUCGUUUCGCUGACAUCGUCCUCGCUUGAAGCAGGGAGAGGGUACAUGUCGACCACCGAGGGUAUUGCAUUUUCUACGCUUACCCUUUCAAUCUAGGAUUUAAAUUUCCUUUCCUAAUGCUAGUGGUAGAUUUCUGCCAUCACUAUAGGGUAUGCCCUGGUCAGCUCUUCCCUUCCUGCUACAAGUUGUUGGCGAUGCUGAUAAAAUAUGCGGAGUUGGCACAGAGGGAGAUUACUCUUUGUCACGUACUAACUCUCUAUGCCCCCUAAAGGAUACGAGGUACCAUGAUUCGGCUGGUCUCUCGUGGGGCCGGCGGCUUAACUGCGAAACUCGAUGACAAGGUUGAUGCCCAUCCAUAUGAGCACUUUUUCUACACCAGGACCGAGCAUCUGGUGGCUUGUGCUUCCGACUUUCCAAUUGCAUGGAACCAUGCACGUAAGUUUCUUUUAUGUAGGUAUCAAUUUCUUUUGGUUAUAUGUCUUGUUUCGCAUUCGUACGUACUGACCUUCCUAUUGUGCCGUAGCUGAAGGUGAACCGCCAGAACCAUUUUUCGGCAUCUGCGAGUGGGUCGAGGCCAUGCUUCCUGUUACAGUAGGAAUUCACACGUAGGUAUCUUUCUAGGAGGUCCAUGGCCGUAAGUCGGCUGCUAGUAAGAACCUGACUUGUUGUGUUGCUCUUAUUUCAUAGUACUUAGUUUCUUUCCCUUGACCUUUCUUCCUUUGUCGGUUAGGGCGACCACGUCGCAUGAGGGCUCCUCAUAUUACUUUCCGCAGGCUGGGGGCGACUGCCCAAUUGGUUGCAAUGCCGUCGCCUCGCCCCGUUCUGAGGGCGACUUCGGUUGAAUCCGUAGCGGCUCACUCUCCAGCACGGUCUGUGAACCAAGUUGAAGAACCUUCAGGGGUCUUGCGUUCCAGGGGGAGUUGCAACCGAAUGAGGAUGAGGAAGAAGAUGGGAGGUUUCUGGUUUGGUGUAGGGUGACGUUCACCGCGGUCCUUCCGGUGGUGAUUAGCUUGGAUUCUCCGCCAUCGGAAGCAGAGGGGAAUGCAGCAGAUUGUGCCUCGGUUGGACCGUACUCACGUUAUUAUUAAGAGGCAGCGAUAACCGUUCGUUGCUUUGAAAGGGUCGUAGUCGUCCUUACUUGGGGGAUGGCAGUAGCCGUUUUAUAUUGAGGAGAAGGCCAUAGCCGUUCUCGCUUAAGAAAUAGUCAUGGCCGUUGUUCAGGGAUGGGUGCAAUCAACAUUAUUUUCGGAGACGGCCGUAGCGAGUAUUAUUUUGAAGAUGGCCAUAGCCUCUAUUGAUUUAGAGACUGUCGUAGCCAAUUACAUAUGUUUCGGGAGGAUACGAUCAUGCUUGCUGCGUAUAAGGAAGGUGCCAAACGCUUAGUGACGCAUGGGGCGUGCCAAGGUGACAGUCACUUCAGCGAUUCAUAUUUCAGCUCCAAUUGAUGAGAGUGAAGGUAGUUCCUCAGCAACUAUUUUGGUGGAAGAGAUAGGUGUCAAUGUUUUGGCGAGUGUGGGUGCUUCAACCUUCCGAGCAGCGGAAUCCUCGACUUCCAGGGCGUCGGAAGGAAGGGGCACCUUAGGAGAAGGGGAUGAUUCUGAGUCUGACUUGGACCCUAAGGACGUCCGCCUGUUCCAAGAGGGAUAUACCCGCCCAGCAGUAUAGGUCAAAGGGGAUUAUCUCUAUGUGGAGAUUCCCAAUGAGUAGAACCUGCUGCUCGAGGAGGAGAAUUUGGUGACAUUAUUUGAGGUUAUGUGCUCUGAAGUGGAGAGCACGUCCUUGAUCGGCAUCUCAGAUGUUGGGUUGCUGGGCAAGGUGGCCGCCCUGGGUAUAAAGGUACGUGUGAAGACUUGGUUUGCUUCUUUCCUUAGUGUAUAUUCUCGUAUUAAUUGAUGUUAAGUUUGUUGUAGUCAUUCUUAUUGGAGGUGGAGAGCAUCCGCUAGGCCAACGUCUGCUCGUCAGUCUUUGUACGGUUUUUGGAGAAGUACCGCCGCUAUCGGAACCAGUGCCGUGAUUUGCGUUAACGCUUAAGGAACGACCAGCGGAAUAGGGAGCUGGUAGAAGAGGUGGCGAGGAGGGAACUUCAUAUGCAGCAGACGCUUAGCAGUGUAAAUUCUCUCGAGGGGCAGCUCCGUCGAAAAAAUGAGGAGAUGGACGCUGAAAGGAGAGUGGCCACUGAGAGAGACCGUCAAAUUCAGGCUACGACAACAGAGGCCGCUGAGGAUUUGACUAGGCAGGUGGCUGCCUUAGAGACGGAGGCUGCGGCUUUGAGGAAGCUGGCAGAGGAUGCGCUGGUGAGGGUCGAAGCACUACAGGUGACUAGCCGCGCCCAAGAAAGAGAACAUGAGAACAUGGAUUUGAGUGGGUUGCGGAUACUUUCUGAGAGAGGAUGUUGGAGGGGCGCAUUUCUAUAUAUGAGCAGGACGCCCGUGGUGCGAUGGACUGGAUUGCGGCCUUGGAGGCCGAGAACCAACGCCUGAGGGACUAGGCCGCUUCUUUCGUUCCUGCUCGGGAACUUUGGACUUACGCCGAGGCCCAGCUCUACGUGUAUAGGAGGUUCUGAGAAGCCGGCGUUGUGCCUGAGGCCACCUAUGAGGCAGCCAGCCAAAAGGCUCAUGAUGCUCGCCUUGACUGCGGUUUCGACCCGUCUACACCCGGGGCUGAUGAUGGCACCGAGGGCUUUGACAAUGUUGAAGGCGGUGUUGGUGGCGGGGAGUGAACAAAGAAAAAGUUUGUAAUACUCGUUUAGUUUUCGUUCUCUUUUCUUUUUUGUUGCCAUUUGGCUAUCUUUUUUAUUGCUGCCGGCCUUAGGCCAAUAUAGCUGGGGGUAACCCCUUGUAGAUAUUGUAAAUGUAGGCGACUUUCUUCCUUUCUGUUUGUUCUGUAUCAAUUUCGUACGUUUAUUUUUUUGUUCGUUCGAGGGGGCCUUGCCUUAGAGUUUUUCUAGUGAGCAUACUAAUGGUCUUGUCCGUUAGGUGAUUUCCACCAUUGUCAAAUUGGUUCCUUUCCUUAAGAAGAAAUUUGUUUAGAUGGCUUUGGCCAUAGGUGCACGCUUUUGUCCAUCGCCUUCCUCCACUUGGUGGGAGUGGGUUGAGCCAUGUUUGGGAAGUGUCAGCACACAGCCUUAGUCCUAGUUCGGGCUUAGUCGGACUACUGGCCUGUGGUAAUGAAAUGCACGGAUUUGUAGUUCGACUUGGGCUGAACUUUACGUGGGCCAAAACUUUAGUUUGAGAUAGUCGUAGUUACUUGAAUGGGGGGCUCUUGGCCCUAGCUGUGGUUCGACUGUGGUUGAACAUUUGGGAGCGUUCGGCCUCGUCUGAUCACGGCCCGGCUCAUAGCUGCGGAGAUAUAUACUCUUGGCCCUUAUUCGACCGUGGUUGAGUUUGUAACUCUUGCGACGGAUGCGUGUAGCCUAAGUCCUAGUGUUAUUAGUAGUUGAUCUUUUGGGCGAGGGCACGUAGCCUGAGUUGUCGUUCAACCAUAGUUGAACCUUUUGCAUUUCUUAAUUGCGAAGGCACUUGUCCUAAGUCCCAGUUCAACUCGUAGUUGAACAUUUUGGCGAGGGCACGUAGCCUGAGUUGUCGUUCAACCAUAGUUGAAGCUUUUGCAUUUCUUAAUGGCGAAGGCAUUUUGCCUGAGUCCCAGUUCAACUUGUAGUUGAACUUUUGGGCGAGGGCACGUAGCCUGAGUUGUCGUUCAACCGUAGUUGAACCCUUUUUUAGUUAUUCAUGGCGAAGUCACUUGGCCUGAGUCCCAGUUCAACUAGUAGUUGAACUUUUGGGAGAGGGCACGUAGCCUGAGUUGUCAUUCAACCGUAGUUGAACCUUUUGCAUUUCUUAAUGGCGAAGGCACAUGGCCUAAGUCCCAGUUAAACUUGAACUUUUGGGCGAGGGCACGUAGCCUGAGUUUUCAUUUAAUUGUAGUUGAACUUUUUGUAUUUCUUAUUGGCGAAGGCACUUGGCUUGAGUCCCAGUUCAACUCAUAGUUGAACUUUUGGGUGGGGACACGUAGCCUGAGUUGUCGUUCAACCGUAGUUGAACCUUUUGUAUUUCUUAUUGGCGAGGCACUUGGCUUGAGUCCCAGUUCAACUUGUAGUUGAACUUUUAGCGAGGUCACAUAGUCCGAGUUGUCGUUGAACCGUAGUUGAACCUUUUGUAUUUCUUCAUGGCGAAGGCACUUGGCCUGAGUCCCAAUUCAACUCGUAGUUGAACUUUUGUGCGAGGGCACGUAGCCUGAGUUGUAGUUCAACCGUAGUUGAACCUUUUGCAUUUCUUAAUGGCGAAGUCACUUGGCCUGAGUCCCAGUUCAACUCGUAGUUGAACUUUUGGGCGAGGGCACAUAGCCUGAGUUUUCUUUUAACCGUAGUUGAACGUUUUGUAUUUCUUCAUGGCGAAGACACUUGGCCUGAGUCCCAGUUCAACUCGUAGUUGAACUUUUGUACUCUCGCAUAGCCCGCUUCGUGUUGGGCGUUGGGACUUGACUGUUAUUUAGGAUUUUGCAUGACUCGUGCUUGUAGUCUUCUUUUAUGGUUCGCAUAGGUUACCCCGUUACAGAUCUCGGUUCGAGAUGAUUUUGUGCUUUAUUCCUUUUUGGCGGGAUUCGGAGUAAAAUGGGGUUGAGGUACCUUAUGCGCAUUUUCCCAUACGAAUGGGGGAUCUACUACUUCUUCUUCUUCCCCUUGCUCGAAGAUGCAUAAUGUGGAAGCCAAUUAAUGUCGAGGCUUUUGAAUCCCUUUUAUCCAGCGUGCCGCUCAUGCUUGUUCGAGCUGGGUUGUUUUCUUUCCUUUUUGGUCCAAAGAUAAACUGUGCGAUUCUGCUAUGAAAUCCCCCAGACGAAGCCAAAUUGUUUAGCUCAAAGUUCUCAUUACUUUGUAAGCAUAAAUCAAUUAAAAUAAAUGGAGGGCCAAUCAUAGCAGAUCGUAAUAAAUCAUAAGACCAAAUGAAUAAAACAUAAGAGACAAUAGUUAUUGGUUUGGGGGGCUGGAGAUCUUUUAUUAAUGAUAUCGGUUUGGUCUACCUCUCCAUGGAGAGGUUCAGAGCCUUACAAUGAUGUAGAUUCUCUUCUCUUAGAAAUAGAUGUGGAGAAGAAGAAGAAGAAGAAGAAGCAGCCCCCUUUGGAGUUCUUUCUCUUAGUAUUUAUAGCUGUGAACCUUUCCAGCUGGUGAGGGACGGCCGUAACCGCAUCGAAGGGACGUCCGUGAGCAGUGAGAGGGCCGUGGUAUCGUUAAUUAGGUUGAGUAAACUCGGAGUGCCUUAUUCAGUGAAUGAUUAUACCUUUUAUUAGCCCGAACAAGCUUAAAAGAUAGUUAGACACGCUAAUUACCACAGAUCUAAUUCUGUACCAUACAGAUUGUUCCUCCGCUUAUUGAGGUCGGGAUUCAACCGAGCUCGAUGAGCGGACUUUGCUGAUAGGUGUAGCCGUCUAUGCUUUGGAGAUGGCCGUAGCCACUUUUGACUUGAAGAUGGCCGUAGCCGUUUUUGGAGAUGGCCAUAGUCAAUUAUACUUUGGAGACGCCCGUAGCCAAUUAUACUUUGGAGAGUAUUUAUAGUUGUGAAUCUUGUGAGCCGGCGAUAGACGGUCGUGGCUGCAUCGAGGGACGUCCGUGAAAAAUGAAUAGGCCGUGGUCUCGUUAAUUAGGUCGAGUAACCUCGAAAUACAUUUGUCAGUGAAUGAUUAUACCUAUUAUCAGGCUGAACGAGCUUGGGAGCCAAUUAGGCAUACUAAUUAUUGCGAAUCUAAUUUUGGCCCAUACAAAGAGUUUCUUUGGUUUUGGUACAGCAGUUGUAAUCAAAGGUAACCGUAAAUUACAAUGACCAAUACAAGACUAUAUCAUAUUAACUAAUAAAAGGAAAUUAUAUUAUAAUUUAAGCAGGAUAAUUAGAGAUAGGAACUGCACGUGAUUUUUCACAACAAGACAACAUAGACAAGAAAUGAUCCUUAUCUACUAAACCUGAGGUUACAAGCGCCACAGAUCUUCAAAUGUUUUAAAGACCAAGCUGGGGAGUCAAAUAAUUAAGAUUUAGGAAUUUUUCUCAAAUGACACGAAAAUAGAACCUACUUUUUCCAAAUUCCAUGUAAAACUUUUUGAACAUCCAUAACGAGACGGGUUUGCCUGCUCCUUCACUCGUAUAAUAAGUUAGCCUAUCACUCGUAUAUAGUCGCAUCAAUUUGCGUGUCAGUCAAGGCGUUUAGCCGAAAGUUCAAAUAUGAAAUUUUGUGAAUAUUUGCUAUGUUUUGAUAUUAAAAUGAAUAAAUUUGACUUCGGUCAAUAUUUUAGGUAAACGGAUCCGACCCUUAAUUUGACAGUUCUGGAAGGACCGUAAAAAAUAUGGGACUUGGACAUGCCCGGAAUCGAAUUCCGAGGUCCCAGGCCCGGAAAAUAAAUUUUUAAGCAAAAUUAUUUUCUAAAAAUAUUUAUGGAAAAUGAAAAUGAAAUUUGAUUAAUAAGUGAUGGUAUCGGGCUCAUAUUUUUGUUCCAGCACCCGGUACAGGUCUUAUAUAUAGUUUAAGCAUUUUCUGUAAAGCUUGAUUGAAAAUAGACGUCGUUUGACGUGUUUAGAACUUAAAGUUCUAAAUUUUAAAGUUUAUGAAAUUUGAAAGAAAUUAUGAAUUUUAAGGCUUAAUUCAUUAUUUUUUAUGUUAUUUUGGAAAUUGGAUCGCAUGGUUAAGUUCAUAUGAUGUUAUUGAGUUAGUAUGCAUGUUUGGUUUGGAGCCUUGAGAACUUGGAUUAGUUUCGGAUAAGUGUCGGGGUGUUUUUGACUUAGGAAAUGCAGUAGAAAUAGUUGUUGUAUGUUGUCCAGUCAUUCCUUCUAUGCGAUCGCAUAGGUCAGGCCGCAAUCGCAUAGAGCAAAUUUCAUAGGUUUAGAAAUCCUUAUAUGCGAUCGCAUUCCACCCUUCGCGAUUGCAUUGAAUAAAGGCUCAGCAAAAUUUUUCCUUCUAUGCGAUCGCAUGUAUCCUUCCGUGAUCGCAAUGCCCAAUCCCACACUGCGCGAUCGCAUACUUGCUACCGUGAUAGCAGUGCACCCCGUACCUUACCCUAUGCAAGUGCAAUCCCUUCUUCGUGAUCGCAUAGAGUAAAUUCCACCCAGUUCUUUACAGUCCCAAAAACAUAACACUUAUAGGAUUUUCACAACAUUUUACAAACCCUCUAUUCUUUAAAGCUCUUGGACGAUCCUUGGAGCAUUUCUUCACAAAAGAUUCUUGGGUAAGUGUUGCUUAACUCACUUCUUUGUUUUCCAUUAAUAUCUUUGAAUUCCUAGGCCAAAAACAUGUGAAAAUAGGUAGAAAUUAGAGAAAUGGGCAGGGUAGAGCUUUUUGAAUUUCCUUGAAUUAGACCUCAUUUUGGGGUCGAAUUUGAAAGAAAAUUACAUAUUCGGGCUCGUGAGUGAAUGGGUGACCGAAAUUUGGUUCAAAUCUCGUAUUUGACCAAGCGGACCCGAGAUCAAUUUUUGGAAGAAAGUUUAGAAAAUUAUAUUUAGGCAUUUGAAUUUGAUUUUUGAGCAUUUAUUGAUGAUAUUAAAUCAAUUGUGUAUAGAUACGAUUGAAUUGGAGCAAAAUUUGAAUGGAAAAGCGGUGCUUAAGGGUUGAGUUGGCCGUAGAACUACGAGGUAAGUGUUUGGUCUAACCUUAGCUUGAUGGAAUAGGAAUUGAGUCUUAUUUUCUACUUGCUAAUUGUCGAGUACGACGUAUAGGCAUAGUGACGAGUAUCUAUACCUUGGGUCUUGCAUGAUCGUGAGUCCUUAUAUUGCGAAUAUUCGGAUUUUAUUAUAUCUUCCAUGUUUAAAUGAUUAUUUCCAUACGUUGUGAAUAGCAUGUGGAAAAAAUUGUGAUAUUUAAUAGUUGAGGAGCGUUGACUCAAGUUAUAAGAUGAAUUGAGAAAGUAUAUGAAAUGAUUAAACCCUUUGGAGCAUUGGCUCAACUGGUAAAAUGAAUUAGAAGUAAGAAAUGAAAGAAAGAGAAAGAAUUAUUGAAUAAUUCCCUUGCCGAGAUAUUUUGUUAAAUUGUUGGUAUCUCCCUUACCGGAAAUUUUAUUGCUUAAUCGUUGUGUCCUUAUUGGGAUCUCCUACUAUUAUUUUGUUUACUUCUGUGCCUCUAUUUGUGAUUGUUUGGGCGAGGAAGAGCGAUAACGCACGAUGGAUGAUGCCAUGCAUGUUAUAAUAUUUGACGAUCGGGUUGCACGUCGCAAUAGUGCUAAAUGAUAUGGAUCAGGUUGAACGCCGCAACAAUGCUAAAUGAUAUUUGAGGAUCGGGUUGCACGCCACAACAAUGCUAAAUGAUAUUUGAGGAUUGGGUCGCACACCGUAACAGUGCUAAAUAAUAUUUGAGUAUUGGGUUGCACGCCGCAUCAAUGCUAAAUGAUAUUUGAGGAUCGGGUUGCACGCCAGAACAAUGCUAAAUGAUAUUUGACGAUCCGGUUGCACGUCACAACAAUGCUAAAUGAUAUUUGAGGAUAGGGUUGAACACCGCAACAAUUCUAAAUGAUAUGUAUCGGGUUGGACGCCGCAACAAUGCUAAAUGAUAUGGAUCGGGUUGAACACUGCAACAAUGCUAAAUAAUAUGGAUCGGAUUGCGCACCGCAACAAAUGACAUGUGUCGAUUGGGUUGAACGCCGCAACAGUAUUGAUAUGUAUAUUGGGAUCGGGUUGCACGCUGCAAAAAUUGUUGAUUCAAGUGUGUUUAUUUUGGAUAUUUGUUUUCUUUGUUUUCUGUAAAUUCUCUUGGCUGCACGCUGCAAAAAUUGUUGAUUCAAGUGUAUUUAUUUUGGAUAUUUGUUUUCUUUGUUUUCUGUAAAUUCUCUUGGCUGCUUCUAUCAUUAUAUUGAGAUUCUCUUUUUGUAACCAUUGUCUCCCCACCGCAUGUUUCUUCAAACUUUAUUGAUUGUUUACUUCAUGUAUUUCUUUCUGUUGUAUAUAUAUGUAUUUGAACUGUACCGGUUUAUCUGGUGGUCCGGUCCUAGCCUCGUAACUACUUCGCCAAGGUUAGGCUAGACACUUACCAGUACAUAGGGUCGAUUGUGCUGAUACUACACUCUGCGCUCUUUUGCACAGAUCUAGGUUUCGGACAACAGACAAUAGCACAGGUGGUAGCUUUUAGAUUUGUGAGACAUAGAGGUAGCCUUGCAGGCGUCUGCAUGCCCGGUAUCUCCUCUAUCUUUAUUUUCAGUCUGUUAUCUCAUUGUAUUCGAGACAAACAAUUUAUAUUAUCUUUCAUAUGGUUGUUUUUAGUACUCCUAGCAGUUCGUAAGUAAAGUGACACCAGUUCUUGGGCAGAGUUUUAUGUUGAGUUUUCAUAUUUUACCGACUUAAGUCUUCCACUUAUUUAAUUUAUUUCGUUGUAUUUAUAUUAUAAUUGUUAAAUUGCUUAAAGAAUAAUUUUGAUAACGAAAUGGUAGGUAAGAGUUGGCUUGCCUAGCUCUUAUUAGUAGGUACCAUGACGAUUCCCGAGGGUGGGAAUUUCGGGUCGUUACAAUUUGGUAUCAGAGUUAUAGGUUACAUAGGUCUCACAACUCACGGACAAACUUAGUAGAAUCUGAGGGAUCAGUACGAAGACGUUUGUAUUUGUCCCCAGAGGCUACAGAUUUAGGAAAUUAUUCACUUCUAUUCAGUUAUGUCAUGCGAUUUUAUUCUCUCAUUGCUAAAUUAAAACUUCUACUCUUGUCCUUUCACGAAUAGCGAGGUCACGUACCGUUUCAUCAGCCGAACUGGAUCACAGACCAGUGAUGGAUCAGCGACGUCUUAACAAACUUUGUGAAGGUUGGAUAAGUUUUGUCACACAUCCUUUUUACGGAGCCCGCAAAGGGUGAAGGAGUUUUUUCCAAUUAAAGGACAAUCAAACGGGAUAUGUUUAUUUAUUUUAGAGUUUCCACAUGUGAGUUUUAGGGUAUCCCAAGUCAUCAGAUUUAAUCCCAAAUCGAGGAAAGGAAUUGACUCUAAAUUACUGUCUACGUACCAGAUAUCCAGAUAAGGAAUUUUGUUAACCCGGGAAAAGGUGUUAGAAAUUCUCGAGUUCCGUGGUUCUAGCAUGGUCUCUUAACUGUUACAUUCAGCUUAUUUAUCUAAUUUUAACAAUUAUGUACUUAGUGAAAAUUAUGACUCUUUUACCUCUUUUAUUAUUAUUAUUAUUAUUAUUAUUAUCAUUUUUAACAAAGGAAUUGCAACGUUGUGAAAACGUAUCUCGGACAACGUCACAACCAGUGUACACGUGGUCGUCGACACAUUUCGACUACGUUGAGAUCUAAAUUUGAGUUACAUCAAUGUACACCCAAAUUUAAGAAAGUAAUUUUGUUAAAGACGCUAGCGUAUAGCUAUUUCGGGUAAGGCCGUAAAAUUUUCUAAACGGUCCAUCCCAAAGUCUAAGUAACUCUACAACCACGUGUAGAGGGUCCCGUAUCUUGUGCAUUUUCGUUUGACGAGGCUCGUUUCGUUCCUUAUUCUUUUAAAAGACUUUCGAUGUCGUGGAAAUGCAUCUCGAACCACGUCACAACCAGUGUACACACGGUCGUCGACACAUUUCGACUCUAUCGUGAUUUGGAUUUGGGUUGCAUAAAUGCACACCCGAGAUUAGGAAGGUAUGAUUAAUUAAGGCGUGUCCUAAAGAGACUAACAUAUCGUUAUUUUGGGAAGAGGUCGUGAAGAUUUGCUAAGCGGCCAACUGCGAAGUCUAUUCAAUUAUUAUGCGUAUUUAUUGAGGGCCCCGCAAUUUGUAAUUUAAUUUGGCGAGGCACGCCUCAUUUUAUUUUUAAGGAUCGUCCUAUAGUGAAUAUAGGUUUUAUUUCUUCCGUCUCUACAAUGACAAGAAAAUUCCUAGUUUAUUUACAUUCUUAUGAGUUAUUACAAUUAAGUUUCGAAUGUGAUUUGUUAAAUUUGAAAAUGGGCGCGUACAUGGGCGUUCUCUAACAAUUAUGGGCCCAGACCCAACAUAUAAGGUACAAAAUCAGACCUGGGCUGUCCUUAUUCACAUGCUAUUACCUAAUUGUAUUUUGUCUUAGGUGUCCUCGAAAUUUAAUAGGCAGAAGCAAACUAAUGAGAAAAGCAAUAUAAUUAACUAAAACAACAAAAUUGAAAUGACUUAACUUGUUUAGUAGUUAACUGCCUAAGCCGUGGCAUGCUUUUGAAACUCACUAUUUUAAUCAAACAAAGUGAACUGGCAGAAUGUUACUAUUACCAUAUGUGUUCUUUGACUAUCAUACAUAAGGAAUUUAUUAACUAAGCUACAACAAGAUGUUCAGUUCUACAUAAUCAAACGCCUACAUGAUACUAAUAGAUGAAGCUAACUAAUGUACAUACACAACAAAAUUCAAAAUAUAACUAAGAUAAAUUCAAAACUCCAACUUUUCGUUUCAUAUUCAUGCUUCAGUUUUUAUUCUACAGGAACCAAUGUAUCAAUUUGUGUACCUGGUAUUUGGAAGGCAAGGAAAAAGAGGAGAUCAGUGAUAGCAGCAGUAUGCACACACAGCAACAACAGUUCCAGCAACAACUGCAAUAAACAAAUAUCAAACAAUAGCAAGAAUCCCAGGAAAGUUUUGAAAACAAGCAGGAACAACCCAGGAACUUUCAAACCCAACAGAAAAUGCAAGAAAUACCACACUAAAAGACCCAGUAAUACCCGAAAUGCCUUCACAGUCGAAGUAAAAAAUGAGGCAGAAACAAGAAAGCAGUAUUUCUAAUUGUGAGCACUUAAAGAAACAAACUGAAACUCUUGAAGUAAAGCUCAGCCAAACACUCACUUAAGUUUUGGAAUCCUAAUGCGCAAAUUUCAGUCUUAAGAUAUUAAGUUCUGAUAUUAUGCCUUCAAAAAUCUGUUAUAACUCACUCCUCAAAUCUGAAAUUCUCAAAGUCUCCUCCUUUCUUAAACUUAUUUCUCUCUAUUUAUAGGCCAACAUUUUCUAUUCAAAACUUUUCUUUUCAGCGUGUAUAUUCCCUCCCCAUGUGCAUUUAUACCCCUUUAUCAUUCAACCCUUAAUGUUUCUGAUUUCCAAUUAGGAAAGGUAUUUAAAAGAAAUGUCAGCUUUUAAUUCUUUAUUAAGACCCCAUGUUAUUUGUGAUUUCCAACUAGUAAACCACUUAUUUUGUUUUUUAAUCCCAAAAGUAUAUGGCCAGCUUGAAUAUUAAAUUCAGGCGUGCCUGGCAAUACAUGGUCUUCACUCAACCCCCUAACCCUAUGUUUACUAGUCUAAAACUACCUCUAUAUAAGCUUAGAUUUAAAACUGAUUUUAGGUUAAGCUUACAGAUUACUUACAACUAUAUCCAAUUCAUACUAAGAGCAAUCACUUAUUCAACUCAAUCAAAUCACAGAAGUGGUGUUGAUCAGAUGGCCUGAGUUGAUCAUAUUGGGAGCCAAUCCUUACCAACUCAAAGCCAAAUGAGCAAAAAAGGCAACAACUAUUAAAGGCUCAGAUCAAAGCAGAAAUGAACAUGCUUGUUGAUACAAGUCUCAACACAUGACAAGAGAAGCAUGCUAGAAAUUAACUGGAAUGAACAAUUCAUGAUUCUCUAGUUUUUUCAGUGCAUUCAGUUGACAACAUUCAAUUAAUUGACUAUAUGAACUGCAACAGAUAGCUAACAAUCGAUAAUCAAAAUACAUCAAGCAUGUUAGAGGAUUUCAGUGACUUCAGCAAAUAACCUAAUGUGAACUAACUAUUUUGACGAUUUAAUCAAGCUAAACACCUUCUUAAUCACAACAGGUACGACUAAUAAAGAAAUAGAAGAAAUGACAAAAUAAAAGGUAUUAUGGAGAUGGACAGAAUUGAAAGAAAAAUAACUUAAAAAUCAAACAAAAUAACUAAAAAUGCAAACAAACACAAAUAGAACACAAACAAGAGCAGAAGGAGAAGAAUAAAAUACCUUAGAAGCUUAGAAAAGAGACGACCCCUGUUCAAAUUGGACCUGAUCUCUUUGAGUUCGAACGAACUUUAAUCGAACCUUUCUCACCCGAGAACACCUCGAUUAAGGUCUAUUAGACCCCAACAAUUUGAUAAUUAGGAUAGACUCUCAUGGAUUUGUGUUCUAGGGUUCAAACAUUCGAUUUAGGGCUUGAAGGUUUCUGGUUUGAUUCGGACCAAACCAUCGUUUGUAAAGAUAUGAGGGAGGUCAAGGGAUAGGUUAGGGUUUUGCUCGAAUCUUUAAAUGAAGAUUCCAGACGAUGGGCAUUGAUUCAAGGUAAAAGGCUUGUGGAUACGUAAUCAGAGUGUGAAGGUGGUUCUAUGGUGUUAAGAUGGUGGUCGGCGGCGUAGUUGCCGCCGGGUUUCAGGCGAAUGGGAGCUAUGGCGGCUAGGGUUUACAGGUCUCGUCUCUGAGUUGAGAGAGACGAAGUGGGAGGGGUGUGCUUGGUUAUGGGGGACGAGGGGUGAGAGACAGAGGCUUAUAUAGGGGGUAGGGGGAUUUGAUCCUGGUCGUUGGAUCAAGAAUGAUCGACGGCCAAGUUCUUUCACUUGGGUGAAACGAUGUUGUAUAAUUCCAGUGAGACUGGGUUGGUUUCUAGGGUUAAGUGGGUCGGGUAUCUGGGAAAGCCUCAAGUCGUUGGGUUAGAUGGGAUGAACAACUUAGAUCAAUUGUAAUCAUGCGGUAUCGUUUGGAUUAAUGAAAGAACUAAACUGUACAGUUAGAUUUGACUGAUUAACGGUCCAUAUUAAAAGCAUCCAAACGACGUAGUUUGGGGGACGUUUGGGGGACGGUUUAGAGACCUGGUCCUAGACUAGGUUAUUGCACACAUUGAGCCUUAUCUUUUGGUUUAAUAAUGAAGACCAACUCCAACAUUUUCUUAAAUUUUUUGCACUCUUUUCCUUCUUUUAGUUAACCAAACUAACAAAAAUCCGAAUAAAAAUGUAAAAUAAAAAUAAAACUACAAAAUAUUAAUUAACACUUACAACAAGUAACACACACAUUAAAUCAUUCAAUUAAGAUAAAAUCACCUAGUGACAAAAAAAAUAGAAUAAAAAGGCAUAUUUUGUGAUUUUAUUUUUAACAACCAAAUUGUGGUUCAAUUAAAUCCUAAAUGCAUAAUUAAAUCCUAAAUAUGCAUGCAACAUGUAUUUUUUUUCUUUUUUGUAUUUUUUAAUUAACCACAACAAGGUAAACAUUUACGGACGAAACAAUUAAAAAAAUGUCACACAAAUUCUCAAAAAUUGUACCCGAAUGUAACUUGUUUUAUUUUUUGAUUUCUUUUUGAGUAAUAUCUGUGAAGCAAAAAUCACGUGCUCACAAGUUUCACCAAGACUUUCACUACUACAUUCGGCGGUGCAUCUACUAAGAGUUCCCAUGAUUAUCUAGACAAUUGUCAUGACGUUCUCAGGGACAUUGGGAUCGUGGAGACCAAUGAGGUAGAUUUUGCUACAUUUUGCUUGUCUGGAUCUGCCGAGACCUGUUGGAAAUAUUAUUGGUUGGCUAUACUUCUAGGUCAUCAACUUCGACUUUGGAGCAAUUAUCAGAGUUUUUUCUGGAGAAGUUUCUCCCCGUUACUCAAAGAGAAGCCUAUUGGAGGAAGUUCGAGCGUCUCCAGGUUCUAUGAAUGGUACUCAGUACGAAACCUGAUUCAUCGACUUGGAUCGUCAUGCUCAUACCAUGCUUCCCACUGUGAGAGAGAGUGAGGAGGUUCAUUGAAGGACUCGUCCAGCCCGCUCAGUUUGUUGGGGGUAGAGGUAGAUGUAUUAGAGGUGGAGGUAGAAAUGGUAGAGGUUGAGGGGAAGGCAUUAGAGGUGGAGGUGCAGGUACUAUUCUGGUUCGUAGCAGAGAAGCUUCGGUUUAUUGUUUUGCCGCAUCUGGUCAUGCAUAGUAGUUCUUUGAGUGCCCCUGUUAAUGUGUCUAUGCCGGUGGGUGAUUUUACUGUGGUGGAUCGUGUCUAUUGAUCAUGUAUAGUUGUGAUUGGAGGUCUUGAGACUCGUGUAUAUUUGUUUCUCUUGGACAUAGUCGACUUUGAUCUUAUAUUGGGGAUGGAUUGGUUAUCACCUUACCAUGCUAUCUUGGAUUGUCAUGCCAAGGCUGUGACCUUAGCUUUACCAAGUUUGCACCUUUAGAGUGGAGAGGGAUUCCAGGUCAUUCUACCCGCUAUGUUAUCACGUAUGUGAAGGCUCGACAUAUGGUCGAGAAGGGGUUUUUGGCUUAUUUAGAUUAUGUUCGUGAUUCCAGUGCUGAGGUUCCCUCUAUUGAUUCUGUGCCCAUGGUUCACGAGUUUCCUAAGGUUUUCCCUUCAGACCUGACGUGUACGCCACCUCACAGGGAUAUUUAUUUUUGCAUUGAUUUGUCUCCGGGCACAUAGCCCAUCUCUAUUCCUCCAUAUCGCAUGGACCCACAAGAGUUGAAAGAGUUGAAGGAGCAGUUGCAAGACUUGCUUUAGAAGUUUCAUUAAGCACAGUGUGUCACCAUGGGGUGCGCCGGUGUUGUUCAUAAAGAAGAAGGAUGGUUCGAUGAGAAUGUGCAUUGAUUACCGGCAAUUGAACAAGGUUACAAUCAAGAAUAAGUAUCCACUGUCGAGGAUUGAUGAUUUAUUUGAUAAAUUUUAAGGUGCCAAGGUAUUUUCAAAGAUAGACUUGAGAAUUGGCUGACAUCAAUUGAAGUUUAGGGCAUCCGAUGUCCCUAUGAUAGCUUUCCAAACUUGGUACGGACAUUAUAAAUUCUUGGUCAUGUCUUUUGGCUUAACAAAUGCCCCAACAGCUUUUAUGUAUCUGAUGAACCAUGUUUAGGGCUUAUUUAGACUUGUUCGUGAUAGUCUUCAUUGAUGACAUAUUGAAAUACUCCCUUAUCCAGGAGGAGCAUGAGCAGCAUCUCAGAGUGGCUCUUCAGACUCUGAAAGAUAGUCAGUUCUACGCAAAAUUUAAAAGUGUGAGUUUUGGUUGAGUUCAAAUACUUUCCUGGGUCAUUUUGUUAUGGCGGAGGGUAUUCAGGUUGAUCCAAAAAAGAAUGAGACAGUCAAGAACUGGCCUAGACCAACAUCAGCUACAGAGAUCCGGAGUUUCUUAGGAUUGGCAGGUUACUACGGUUUGUGGAGGGAUUUUCAUCUAUUACAACCUCGAUGACAAGAAUGACCCAGAAUGGUGCCCAUUUCAAAUGGCCGUACGAAUAUAAUGCGAGCUUUCAGAGGCUUAACACAUCUUUGAGUACGACACGGAUAUUAGUUUUGCCCGCAGGUUUAUGACCUUAUAUAGUCUAUUAUGAUGCUUCCCGUAUUGGAUUUGGCGCAAUGUUAAUGUAGGAUGUCAAGAUCAUUGCCUAUGCUUCGAGGCAGUUGAAGAUUCAUGGGAAAAACUAUCAUGUGCAUAAUUUGGAGGUAACAGCCAUUGUUCACGCAUUGAAAAUUUGGAGGCAUUAUUUGUAUGGCAUGGCAUGUGAAGUGUUCACUGAUGACAAGAGUCUUCAGUACUUGUUUAUGCAAAAGGAAUUGAAUUUGAAGCAGAGGAGUUGGUUGGAACUAUUGAAGGAUUAUGACAUCACUAUUUUAUAUCACCCAAGAAAAGCCAAUGUGGUGGCAGAUGCUUUGAGUAGGAAGUCAACCAGUAUGGGCAGUCUUGCUUAUAUUCCAGUCAGUCAGAGGCCACUUGUUUUGGAUGUUCAUGCUUUAGCCAACCGAUUUGUGAAGUUGGAUAUUUCUAAGCCUAGUUGGGUAUUAAUUUGCACUAUCUCUCGUUCUUCACUAUUGGAGUAUAUCCGUGAUCGGUAGUUUGUGUUUCCCGUUUAUGUGUCCUUAAAGACAUGGUGCAACGAGGACGUGCCAAACAGGUUAAAUUAGAUACUGAUGGAGUUUUAAGAUUUCGAGGGCGAGUUUGUGUGCCAAAUGUUGAUGGGCUUCGAGAAUUGAUUUUAGAGAAGGCCCACAGUUCCCCGGUAGUCUAUUCAUCCAGGCACCGCAAAGAUGUAUCAGGAUUUGCGGCAACAUUAUUGGUGAGCGUAGAAUUAAGAAGGAUAUUGUGGGAUAUGUGGCACGGUGUUUGAAUUUUAGUAGGUUAAGUAUGAGCAAAAGAGGCCUGGUGGAUUAUUUUAGGGGAUUGAGCUUCCCCAGUGGAAGUGGGAGUGUAUCACUUUACUGGACUCUCGUUGACUAGGAAGACGUUUGAUACGGUUUGGGUCAUUGUUGAUAGGUUGACCAAGUCGUCGUAUUUCAUUCCUGUGGCAUUCUCUUAUUCAUCCGAGAGGUUAGCUGAGAUUUAUAUCCAGGAGAUUGUUCGCCUUCAUGAGGUGCCGAUAUCUAUCAUCUCGGAUCAAAGUACGUAGUUUACCUCGCAUUUUUGGAAAGUAGUUCAGCGAGAGUUAGGCACCCAGGUGCAGUUGAGUACAACAUUUUAUCAUCAGACGGACGGGCAAUCCGAGCGGACCAUUCAGAUAUUGAAGGAUAUGCUCCAAGCUUGUGUUAUUGACUUUGGAGAUUCGUGGGAUCAAUUCUUGCCCUUAGCAAUGUUUGCCUACAACAACGGCUACCACAUAAGUACCAAGAUGGCUUCUUAUGAGGCUUUAUAUGGUAGGAGGUGUCGAUCUCCGGUUGGAUGGAUGGAGCCGGGAGAGACUCGGCUGUUGGGUAUAGAAUUGGUGCAGGAGGCCUUAGAAAAUGUUAGAAUCAUUCAGGAUAGGCUUCAUACAGCUCAGUCCAGGAAAAAGAGCUAUGUAGAUCGUAAGGUUCGAGAUGUAGAUUUCAUGGUUGGUGAGCGAGUAUUGCUCCGAGUGUCGCCUAUGAAGGGCAUGAUGAAGGGAAAUCUUAGCCCUAGGUUCAUUAAUCCGUAUAAGAUUCUUGAGUUAGUUGGAGAUGUGGCUUAUAGACUUGCAUUGCCUCAAAACUUAUCAGCAGUGCAUCCAGUUUCUUAUGUGUCCACGCUUCGAAAAUAUCACGGCGAUCCAGCCCACGUGCUAGACUUUCAACACUAUCCAGUUGGAUAAGGACUUGUCUUACGAGGAGGAGCCGUUGGCUAUUUUAGACCGGUAGGUUUGUCAAUUGAGAUCCAAUAGUUUUCCUUCUAUUCGUAGUCAGUAGAGAGAUCAGCCUCUUGAGGCUUCGACCUGGGAGCCUGAUUCCGAUAUGCGGAGCCGUUAUCCUCAUUUAUUCCGCGACUCACGUACUUCUUUCUUCUGUCCGUUCGGGGACAUACAGUUGUUUUAGAGGUGAAGAAUGUGACGACCCAAAGGGGUCAUCACUUAUUAUCUUAUCCAUUCCGAGCUUUCGAGGUCUUGAAAACCAUAUUUAUAGUCGCCUCGAUUUGCAUGCACAUUUGAGGCGCGUAGCCGGAAGCUCAAAUAUGAAAUUAUGUGAAAGUUUUGUAAUUUUUAAUAUUAAAAUGAAUAAAUUAGACUUCGGUCAACAUUUUAAGUAAACUGACCCGGACCUGUAAUUUGACAGACCUGGAAGGUCCGUGGAAAAAUAUGGGACUUGGGCGUAUGCCCGGAACCGAAUUUCGAGGUCCCAGGCUGGAGAAAUGAUUUUUUGAGUAAAAUUGUUUUCCAAAAAUAUUUAAGGAAAAUAAAAAUGAAAUUUGAUUAAAAGUGAUGGUAUCGGGCCUGUAUUAUUAUUUCCGCCGCCCGGUACAGGUCUUAUAUGUGGUUUAAGCGCUUUCAGUAAAAUAUGGUUGAAAAUAGACGUCAUUUGACGUGUUUCGGAUUUAAAGUCCUAAAAAAGUUUAUGAAAUUUGGAAGAAAUCAUGGAUUUUAAGACUUAAUUCAUUAUUUUUGAUGUUAUUUUUGCGAGUUGAUCACACAGUUAUGUUCGUAGGAUGUUUUUGAGUUAGUAUACAUGUUUGGUUUGGAGCCUCGAGGGCUCGGGUGAGUUUUAGAUAGGUGUCGGAGUGCUUUUGACUUAAGAAAUGCAGCAGAAAUAACUCUUGGCUGUUUUCCAGAUCCUUCUAUACGAUCGCUUUCUACCCUCCACGAUAGCAUUGAAUAAUGUCUCAACAAUAUUUUUCCUUCUACGCGAUCGCGUGUAUCCUUGCACGAUCGGAAUGCCAAAAAAUCUCACACUACGCUAUCGCAUACUUGCUCCCGCGAUAGCAGUGCACCUCGUACCUUAACCUAUGCGAUCGCAAUCCCUUCUUCGCGAUCGCAUAGAGUAAAUUCUGUCCAGUUCUUUAAAGUCCCAAAAAAACAGAACGUUUACGGGAUCUUCACAAUAUUUCACAAACCCUAUCUUAUUCAAAGCUCUUGGACGAUCCUUGGAGCAUUUCUUCACCAAAGUUUCUUUAGUAAGUGUUUUUAAUUCGUUUUCUUUAUUUUCCAUCAAUAUCUUUGAUUUCCUGGGCCUAAAACAUAUGAAAAUAGGUAGAAAUUAGAGAAAUGGGUAGGUUAGAGCUUUUUGAAUUUCCUUGAAUUAGACCUCGUUUUGGGGUCAAAUUUGCAAGCAAAUUAUAUAUUCAGACUCGUUGGGUGAUAGGAAUUUAGUUCGAACCUCCUGUUUUGAACAAGUGGGCCCAAAGUCGAUUUGUGAAAGAAUGUUUAGAAAAUUAUAUUUAGGCAUUUGAAUUGGAUUGUUGAGCAUUUAUUGAUGAUAUUAAAUCAAUUGUGUAUGGAUACGAUUGAAUUGGAGCCAAAUUUGAAAGGAAAAGUGGUGCUUAAGGAUUGAGUUGGCCGUAGAACUAUGAGGUAUGUGUUUGGUAUAACCUUAGCUUGAGGGAACAACCUGUCACCUUACAUUUGAACAUUGUGAAUUAAAAUAAACUUCCUAAAGGCUUGCCUACCCAAAUGUGGCCGGCCUAAAUAUGCUACUAGCGAUUAAAUAUAAUAUAAACCGUAAAAUAUUUCUAGUGCUCAGACUUCCUUAUAAUUUUUGGACUCCCAAUCUCCACGGUCUAACAUCGUCUUAGUAUCCAUGCCACUAAUAAAUCUAAUUAAUUUUGUUAACUUAGUUCUACUGUCAUCAAAGUGUUAAUUCUAAAGCUUAUAGUUCAAUUAAGGGAAGUAGUAGAGAAUCAAAAUUUAUUUUAGCCAUUAAACCCAUCCAAGCAGGGAUUAAACCAAUGGUUAAUAACAAAUUCAGUCAACAAACAGUAGAACAUCAUUAAAAUAGAGCAAUGAACAUCCAAACAAAUGGGGAAGUGAUAGAUUAACGAAGUGAUUAAGUACAAACAAUAUGUAAGGGAGGAAGAAAUAAACCUUACUGGCGAAAGUUUCUUCCAGAUUAGAGAAAGUCUAAAUCUACAGUAUUGUCUGGAUGAAGAGCAACAAAAAUUCAACAACCAAAUUGAGUAUUCACGGGAAAAUCAACAUGAGCGCUAAUCGGACCUCGAACACCGACCUAAACCAGCUCCAUCUCAGUAGCGAAACUCAAACCUGACAUCAGAAAUGAGCUGAAAGCCGCCUGAGAUUUGACUAUUUAUAGCAGAAAAUCUUGGGCUUGAGUUUUGAGCAAGAUUUAACAAUUCAAAUUAAUUGUAAAUAGCCCAAAUCUGAACGUUGGGGAUUCAAUUUCAAGUGACUUGGCUAUAUUCUGAAAGGGGUUGUCCUGGGUGACUGGUCCGUUGGUAACAGCUGUGCGAUUUUUUCUGGUGAGUACGUUGGAAAGGGACUAGGGUGCGGUAGCUCAGGUGUAUGGCUGGUCCAACGGGUUAAGGUUGAGGAACAGGUAGUCGUAGUUCGCUGGGGUUAUGAUUUAGGUGGUAUUUCCGGCGAUUUUUGGUUUUUAGCGGUGGUGGUUAUUGAGCUGAAGCUUUUUGACUGCAAAAAUGGCUGAUAGUUUUGUAUUGCAGGGCUGAAGAAGAUGACGAGGAAUGGGGGGAGGAGUCGCUAGGCUGAUGGAAGCUAGCUCGAUAUGGUAGGGCGGAGAUAGGGUCGUUUGGGGUGAAGUGAAAGGAGAGAGCAGGGGUCGUUUGGGGUGAACGGCGCUGGAUUGUUUAAUUCACGCUCGGUCUCGUUAGGGGUGUGGGGAAUACUGCGCUUUAUUUUUAAAGAAGAAGAA
rnacentral:lncRNA from 1 species